GAGGGUGUAGCUCAAGUGGUAGAGCGUGUGCUUAGCAUGCACAAGAUCCUAGGUUCAAUCCCCGGUACCGCCU
rnacentral:tRNA from 1 species